rnacentral:pre_miRNA from 1 species
AUUCUACUCCCUCCGUUGCACAAUACAUGCCUUCUAUUUGUCAAAAUAUAUAUGUAUCUAGACAUGUUUUAGUAUAUAGGUACAUCCAUUUUUGGACAAAUGGAAGUCAAGUAUUUUGGAAUGGAGGGAGUACAUA